rnacentral:rRNA from 1 species
UACGUAGGUGGCAAGCGUUGUCCGGAUUUAUUGGGUUUAAAGGGUGCGUAGGCGGUUUUGUAAGUCAGUGGUGAAAUACUCCAGCUUAACUGGAGGGGUGCCAAUGAUACUGCGAGACUUGAGUACAGAUGAGGUAGGCGGAAUUGACGGUGUAGCGGUGAAAUGCAUAGAUAUCGUCAAGAACACCGAUAGCGAAGGCAGCUUACUGGGCUGUAACUGACGCUGAGGCACGAAAGUGUGGGGAUCAAACAGG